CCUACGGGUGGCAGCAGUGGGGAAUAUUGGACAAUGGGGGGAACCCUGAUCCAGCCAUGCCGCGUGUGUGAAGAAGGCCCUCGGGUUGUAAAGCACUUUCAGUGAGGAAGAACGCCUGGUGGUUAAUACCCAUCAGGAAAGACAUCACUCACAGAAGAAGCACCGGCUAACUCCGUGCCAGCAGCCGCGGUAAUACGGAGGGUGCGAGCGUUAAUCGGAAUUACUGGGCGUAAAGCGCGCGUAGGUGGCUUGAUAAGCCGGUUGUGAAAGCCCCGGGCUCAACCUGGGAACGGCAUCCGGAACUGUCAAGCUAGAGUGCAGGAGAGGAAGGUAGAAUUCCCGGUGCAGCGGUGAAAUGCGUAGAGAUCGGGAGGAAUACCAGUGGCGAAGGCGGCCUUCUGGACUGACACUGACACUGAGGUGCGAAAGCGUGGGUAGCAAACAGGAUUAGAUACCCCUGUAGUC
rnacentral:rRNA from 1 species